rnacentral:rRNA from 1 species
GACGAACGCUGGCGGCGUGCCUAAUACAUGCAAGUCGAACGAGAGCGACCGGUGCUUGCACUGGUCAAUCUAGUGGCGCACGGGUGAGUAACACGUGGGUAACCUGCCCAUCAGAGGGGGAUAACAUCCGGAAACGGAUGCUAAAACCGCAUAGGUCUUCGAGCCGCAUGGCUUGAAGAGGAAAAGAGGCGCACGCUUCUGCUGAUGGAUGGACCCGCGGUGCAUUAGCUAGUUGGUGAGGUAACGGCUCACCAAGGCCGUGAUGCAUAGCCGACCUGAGAGGGUGAUCGGCCACAUUGGGACUGGGACACGGCCCAAACUCCUACGGGAGGCAGCAGUAGGGAAUCUUCCGCAAUGGACGCAAGUCUGACGGAGCAACGCCGCGUGAGUGAAGAAGGUUUUCGGAUCGUAAAACUCUGUUGUUAGAGAAGAACAAGUGCUAGAGUAACUGUUAGCGCCUUGACGGUAUCUAACCAGAAAGCCACGGCUAACUACGUG